AGUAUUUUGCUGUGUUUUUGUCUGCGUGGAUUUCUUUUUUAACUUCUCAUUCUGCAUUACAUUUAUGGAUUAAGGGCUGAGCUUUAAAAUGUUUUUCAUUAUGGUGCAGAGUUCUCAACUGGAUGCCAUGCUUGUAAAACUAGAACAGAAACCUCUAAAAGACAAGAUCAACAGUUUCAGGAGGUCAGUAUAGAAGGCGCAACAGAAAUGUCAAUCUGAGUGUUUAUAGGAUGUGUCUUCUAAUAUAAAUGUAUAAAGCAGGAGAGCAAAUGAAUGCAUUCAGCUUGAACAUACCUAAACUUCUUUGAAAUGGAAGGGUUUUCUUUUGUGGGUUUUUUUUCCACUUUGGCAUGCAAUUCAUGUUUAGGAAGAAUUUUGUUAGUUUUGGUUUUGUUUGUCUAUGGAGAAGAAAAAAAAAAAAAAAAAAAAAAAAAAAAAGCCAGAAGGGGAAGAGGAGUUGCUUAUCAUUUAUGGAUUUUUUAUUUUUAUUUUUUGGUGGUGGUUGGGGUUUGUUUUGUUUUCCUGGGAUCUCAAAAUUCCAUCAGGCAGUAGGAUGCUUUCCACUACCUGGAAAGGCAGAUGUUGCUGCAGCAGGGGCAAUUACACUGACUUGUAGCAUAAGAAGGGGUGAGGAAAAAAUCCUGUGACUCCUUUUGUUUCUGUAUAAAACAUCAGUCAAAUAUAGAGCUUUAAGUCCCUCAGAUAAUCAGACUGUUAGAAGCAAGAAUUUCGUUCUGUGGUGUCUGCUCUAUUCAGGGCUUGUUGAGAGAAGAGAUUAGAUAUGCAAGACAGUUAAGUUCAAUUAAGAAAGGAAGUGAAGCUAAUGCACAAAUUAAGAAAUUUCUCUUUGCAGAAUAAAAUGAGUUCAUUUGUCACAUCCUCUGUUAAAGAAUUCUGCCUACUUGGUUUCACCUGUAAAGCUGUCUGCAAACCUCACCAAAGGUGAUUUUUCCCGGGAUUUGUUGAUUGUUGGCUGCUCAACCAAAUGGCUUUGACCUGUGUGCUGCUGAAUCAGAAAGAAGAGGCAGUAGAGUCUUACAGCCUAUCAUGUUUCAUUGAAAGUGCUGACGAGAACCCAGAACUCUGAAGACAGCGGUUUUGUGCAAGAUAAGAAUGUUAGAAUGUUCCUUAAAGAAGCUGAUGGAGGAUAGAGCUCUGGCAGUGCAAGAUGACACCAUAAUAUAGUCUGAAAUUGUCUUUACAAUCCAGCUGUGAUGGAGUCAAUGGGUGAAGCUCAAGAGCAACAAGAACAGCUGAACAGGAAGGAGCAGUCGCUGAAAACCACCCAGAAAACUGCACUGCUUGCUUGGGCUGCCUGGUGGAAUGGAUUAAUGACUGGAGACAGCAUGUAUCUGUUUGUCCUCUCUCAGAUACUGCUUCUCUGCAUGAUGCUGUGGUACAGCACUUAUGGGACCAUCUCAGCAGCUCAGAAUGCCUUUGACAUGCUGUUUUACUUGCUUACCCCAUUUGAACAGUUUUUGUCAGAUCAAGGAGGGGAUCUAACUAGAAUUGGGAAUGUUGUGAUAUCGUAUAUCCUGCUGUCCUUAGUUUCUCUAGGACUGCUACUUGUUGGAUCUCUGUUUUGGCAUCUGCUCAGAGCUCGUCCAGACCCCCCCUUUCCGCUCCAGGAGGACAGACGCCAAUCUGUGAGCCGGCAGCCUUCGUUCACGUACUCAGAGUGGACAGAAGAUAAAAAUGAGGAUGACUUUCUAGACUUGGAUCCUGUACCAGAGACCCCAGUCUUUGACUGUGUAAUGGACAUUAAAGUGGAGACAGAUCCAGCUACUCUAACAGUUAAAUCCGUGGGCUUGCAAGAAAGGAGGGGUUCCAAUGUUUCACUCACGCUAGAUAUGUGUACCCCAGGCUGUUCUGAGCAAGGUUUUGGCUAUAUCAUGUCACCACGGGAACAGUCAGCGCAAGAAUAUCUCCAGACAGCGUCAAACAUUCUUACUGAAGAAGAACUGCACAAGAAAGCUCUGGAUUCAUUCAUACUCCAGGCAGAAUUCUUUGAAAUUCCAAUGAACUUUGUUGAUCCAAAGGAAUAUGAUAUUCCAGGCCUGGUGCGGAAGAAUCGCUACAAAACAAUUCUUCCAAAUCCUCACAGCAGAGUGUGCCUUACCUCAGCUGAUCAGGACGACCCCCUUAGCUCUUACAUCAAUGCUAACUACAUCAGGGGCUAUGGAGGAGAGGAGAAGGUAUAUAUUGCUACUCAGGGACCGAUAGUUAACACUGUCAGUGAUUUCUGGAGAAUGGUGUGGCAGGAGCGUUCUCCCAUCAUUGUCAUGAUUACCAAUAUAGAAGAGAUGAAUGAGAAAUGCACAGAAUAUUGGCCAGAGGAACAGAUCACCUAUGAAGGAAUAGAAAUCAUAGUUAACCAAGUCAUACAAGCAGAUGACUACCGUUUAAGGCUCAUCACCCUAAAGAAAGGAGAAGAAGUCAGAAACCUGAAACAUUACUGGUACACAUCUUGGCCAGACCAGAAGACACCAGAUCAAGCUCCUCCCCUGUUACAACUAGUACUGGAAGUGGAAGAGGCAAUGCAGAAUGCAGAAGAGAAGAAUGCUCCAGUGAUUGUUCACUGCAGUGCAGGCAUCGGGAGGACGGGCUGCUUUAUUGCAACUAGUGUCUGUUGUAAACAGCUGAAGAGUGAGGGCAUAGUUGACAUAUUGCGAACAACUUGCCAGUUACGGUUAGACAGCCCCAUUCUUUCCUGUCAUCCUCAUUACUGACCGUUUGGAUGCAAGAGAAGAAAGAGUGAGAACAGAACAGCGAAAGUGAGGGCAGUAAGCAGAAGAGGAUAAAACCCCUUUGGGGCAGGACCAGGCAAAAAUUGCAGCUUGUAACUACAAACUUUAUCAGGGUUGAAGCCUGUGCCCCUAGCUUUGGGGAAGGUUGCGUUUUGGGUUGCCUUCCUUCUGCCUCAAGAGCCUUCAGUGAGAACACAACUGUGUCAAAGUUUCAUUUUAUCUGCCUUGUCAAGAAACACUUUCUAAAACUAGGGAUACUCUAUUUCUAGAUGACUAGCACCUACAACUCAAAGACUAGAAUUGAGUAGUUUCUCUACUCCAACUCUUUACUCCAACUCUCUACUAGUCUUGGCACAGCAGUAGGUAGCAGACACCCUCCUGGAAAUGGGUCAUAUGCUUCCAGAAAUUUCUCCAGUUAGCAUAGAUGCAUAAUCUUUUCAAGUGAUGCAUACCAAGCUAGUUGUUGUCUUUAGGUGUAAAAUGUGUACUGAAUGGUUUGGGAGUUGAGAAUUGGUCUAAAUGAAGGGCAAAGGAGGGCUUAGUAAAAUUUAGAAGGGUAGACUAGUAUGUCCUAAUAUGUCUUUUGAUGCAUCUAGUUUUGACACCUUUCUUGAACGUUUAACAUCAGAGCAUCAAAGCAUCUUGUAGCACCACUAUGCAAGCAAGGUAGCCCAGUUUUUCCAUUAUGCAGAUGACACAGCUGGGACACAGGGAGAGCAAAUUACUGGCCCAAAGCCUCACAGAAAGACUGGAAAAAAAUAAGGAAUUGAUCAGCACUCCCUGUGGAAAGUCAGCACAGUACUUGCUGCAAAAUCCUUUAUGUGUAGGGGUUUUAACUGACCAGGCAAUUGCUUAUUUAUCUGUUGUGUUCCAGGGCUUCUUGUUGUAUCCUUACUUUCCUGUUUCUGGUAAAUAAAUUUUUCAAACAACAUCUCUCUGUUCAACUUGAUUAACACAUUUGUUCCCAACCAAAGAGGUUGUUUUUAGGAGGUCUGUGCUAUAUAGGAGCAUUUUAGCAUGGUGACAUGCUCCUUUGUGAUGCUUGUUUGCUGGAGAAAAUAUUUUUAAAUUUGUGGAAAAGCCUUGUCCACUGACAACACUCAAGGGGGCAUUCAGAGCUGAAAUGAUUAGUAAACCAAAUCCUAACGUAACAUGGAAAGGAGAGGGAGACUUUCCUAAGGAACAUGGAAAGUACCAGUAGAGGGACCAAGAGUGUUGUUCACAAUAUCACUAAGGAAUAUUGGACUUUCUAAUGUGACUCUGGAGGCUUGCCAGUGUGAUUCCCAUCUACAAGAAGAGUCUAAGGAAGAUCUGGGAAACUACAGACCCAUCAGCCUGACAUCAAUGCCAGGAAAGGCUAUGGAACAGAUCAUCUUGAGUGAGAUCACUGGUAUUUGCUGGACGAUGGGGAAUCAGGCCCAGCUAGCAUGGGUUCAUGAAAGGAAGAACCUGCUUGACCCGCCUGAUCUCCUUUUAUGUAUUGUAAGCACUUUGGCAAACUCCCAGCAGAUGGGCUGGCAGACAAGGUGUUGGGAAGGAUUUCUGUAAUCUGUUUUCACAGCAAUGACCAUCUGAUGGGGGAGCAUUGAGAUCUCUAUCUAUGUUCUCUGAUGCUAUGAAAACUUGUUUGGAACUGCAUGAAUCCCUCUUCCAAGAGAGGUCUAGAUAUCUUGAAUGUUGUAACAUGACAGUUGCUUAUUUACUUGGAAAAGAAGCAUGAAUUUUUUGUGAAGUGCUAUGUGCAGGGGACCUCCAGCUCUGAGGAAGAACGUAAAGAAGUUGGUGGUUGAGGAGAACGAAACAUUGGAGAUCAUCCCUAAGAAUCUGGAGAAUUUAGAGAAGGCCAGUGUGAACUUCUCUCAUUUCUCAGGAAAUUAAAAGAGGUGAAAGAAGAAGUGGAGGUUGAAGUUAGUGUCAUAGUACCUCAAGACCCUUGACAGAGUCCAAAAAAAAAAAAAAAAAAGUGCAUGCAUCCAAAAAGACAAUUGUGAUGGAAGACAGUUACACAUCCCAGAUGGAAUAAGUAUCUACAUUUUUUUGCAGCUGGACAAAACUGGAUAUUCAAAGAAAUGUGAAGAAAUUGUGUCAAAUCCUGACAAGGUUAACCUGUAACCUGAUAGAAACAAAACCACUGAAAAGGACCAAAAAACAUUGCUAGCUGCGAUGUUUGAAAUGGGCCUGCUAAGGAAAAUGCCAAACUUCAUGUGGAAGUUCAAUGGGCAAGUGUGGAAGCAGGACAAUAAGUAUGAGGUCAUUGCAUCUGAUGAUUGUAUUGGCCCACACUUAAGAUAUCCUGUCCUGUGGACUUCAGAACUCAGUGCUGAAACUGGAGAUACAGAGCGGAAAGCUCCAUUCUUCAUUGAUCACAGGUAAAUCAAUAGAUUCCAGUUCAAUUCAUCAGCAAACCUGAGAAUACCCGAAGGAAGAAUGGAAAAUCUUGUCUGGAGUAUGUGCUGAUUUUGGAAGAUGUCACUCUGAAAGAGAUGAGGAAUCGAUGGGUGAUUGAAAGAUUUCAAGUACACUAGGAAUCACGAAGGGAAGAGAGCAGAGCUUAUCAUAAUGUUGAUGAGCCAGUGACUCAGGAACUUGUAUAGGCAUUGCUGUGUGAGACAGUGAACCUAACGACUGCUACAGCAGCUCCAUUGUAACUGGGAAGUCUCUUGAACAGGUGUCUCAGCCUUAAGGACUGAAUGUCAGGAAAGAAGCUGUCACCAUCACCAGAAACUCCUCAGUCCGGAUUGGAGGUUCCCCAGAGCUAGGCUAUGUCACAGAAAGAAGGAAAAAGAAGGUACCUGAAGCAAAUGAUACAAUGCAUGUUCAGCCAUGCAGAGCCUGGAUUUCCCAGCACACCUUUAAUCACUUGUUGCAAAGUAUCCCAUCAGUGUCUAUCUUCAACUAUUUAACGACCAGUUUUCCUGAACAUGUGUGCUAUGACAAGAUCUAUGCGUUUAUGACCGAAUUCUGAAGCAGUGUGGCAAACUUCAUCCUGACUCAGUAUUUGACAUCUUGAAAAAAGAACAGUUCUAUCUUCACAUAUGCAAACAUAGACCUGCCAGUAAAGUAGUAUGUCACAGUUCUCCUUCUGUCACAGAGCCUGCAGAAGUCCUGACAGUCCUCCACCUGGUGGACUUUUCCAGCUCCAGCAUUUUCUCAGCCUGGCAGGAACCAAACAAGGAAGCUGUGCCAUCAGGAUACAUACUAGAGGAUAUAAGCAGAGAACACCAAGGAUGGACCCUUGACAGAAAGACAAUACUGAUCCCUGUCUUUAGUACCACUUAACACUGCAGGAGGUUUGCAGGACAGACGUAUCCUUCCAAGCUGCGAGUGAAGCCGGUGUGGGAAAAGCAAUGGAGUUACAGGUUUGACCUGACUGUGAGGCUGAAGAGCCACAUGGUGGUUUGUACUGGAACAGCACAGUGCAUUCAUACAUCUUUGUCCAUACAAACUAGCUUGCUCCUUAGAGAAAUUUUCAUUACUGUAAUGAUCUGCUGGGGGUGAGAAGUUUAGAGAUCUUUGCAUUGUAUUUUAUACAUUGCCUCUUCAGAGUGCUUUUUAAAACUAGCAACCAUAUUUUUUUUCAUCAGGAAGGAAUUAUAUACGGCAAGCUAUCAGGUUCCUCAAGCCAGAAGAAAUCAAGGAGAAAGUGCUUUAAUUAAACACACAAAGACUCUGGAAGGGAGGAGCUGAAGUGAAAUAAUUUUGCCCCAGAAAAGAACACAGGGAUGGUUCCAAACAGGAGAAAUCAAUACUUAAAUCUGCAAAAUAAUUCUUAAAUUUCCUCUGAUCAAUCACUAAUCUCAGCUGGCUUGAGAAAGUCCCAAGAAACUGUGAUACUAAAAUAGAAUUACAGCCAGGAUAAAGAAGAGAACUAGCAGACACAUUAUGAUAUCCUGAAAAAUGAUAUCAGUACUGCCACACAGUUCACACAGCCACAGAAAAGUCUACAGCAAUAAGUACAUCAUCACAGGCCUGCUCCCAGGAAGGAAAUACUUUUUCUGAGUCAUUGCCCACAAUAACACUAGGGACAUUGACCCUCUGGAUUCAAAGAAGCUGUGGUACAUCUCCAAAGACAAAGGCUCAUGCCUGGAGCUUGCUAUCACCAUGUGACUUCAAAACCCACCACAUCAAACCUCCAAGGAAAUGCUUUGACUCAAGGGUCUGUUGCAUAAGUACAGACAGAAAAAUGCAGCAUGAGCACUGGGCUACUCACAGCAAAGCCACAGCAGAGAUGGGAUAGAGAGCUAUACAGUCUGCAGGCUGGGCAUGCUCUUACCAUACACUCGUCUGGGACCAUUCAGAACAGCUAUAAGAUAAAUAUUGUGUUCAGAGUCCCUCCUGUGGCACUUCUGCAUUUCAGUGCAGAUGUGGACAACCUCAGAGAUGGUAGCACUCCGGCAGGAUCCCCACCUCUGUCCUGCCAGCCAUGAAGGAUUUCCACUACACCAUAACGAGCCUGAGACCUUCAGGAUGGACAACUAACUGCUUCCAAAGACAGAAACGAUUUGCAGCAUCCACAGUGCUGCAGGUCCCUGUAGCAGUCUCAGCUAAGACAGUGACUCCCUGCUUCUACCCAAGGGUGAUGAAGGCUGUUCCCAGCAGGGCACCUUGCAGGAGAAGGCACCAAGGCCUCAACUUGCUUGAUGCAGCCAAAGCAACGCCUUCUUCUCCAGUCCAGCAGUCUCCAUCUAAAGAUGCAAGUGUGAAGGACUGCGCCCAGCUGGUGAAGGCACAGCAGCUCCUGGCUUGUACCAGUGCAAGUCAUGCACGUAUGUGGCAGGGCACAUCUCCAGCUUCACGCACAUUAAAGGAAAGGUUGGAUCAGUCUGUAUGAGAAAGUGAGUGAAACUCUACCUAGGCUGUUUUGCAUCAUCCUUGGGUACAUUGGCUAAACAUUAGCAGUGGAAAUACUGAAUGUAGUACUCCAAUUUGGUGGAGAGGUGAAGGUAUGUUGUGUUCUUGAUUCUGCACCUUGUUCUGUAAUUAUAUACAAAAGAGAUUGGGUUUGUUAGUAUUGGAGUAUGUGGGGACUUGGUAAUCUGGGCAUGAGUUUCUUUAAGAGAAAAGAGGCUAAGAUUAAGAGGUGUAACAAGAAGCAGUUUAUUUUUUAGGUUGCUUUCAUUUGGCAGCUUAUUGUAUUUUUAUUUUCGCAUAUACGAUAUUACAGAUCUGUAAAAUCAGCCAAGAUCCCGGCUUUCAGGAAUGCCAUGGUCCUGGUGUAGACCUUCCAGUCAGGCUCUCAGCACUGUUUGGGAAAUAAAUCCAAAUAUUUCAGUUGCAAAGAAGAUGCUUUGGCUCCAAAGCAGUAUGAGAAAAUGUACAAUCUAUUUGAUCCACUUCAGAUGCCACAACCAUCUGCAACUGCAUGUGGCAAACACAUAUUUCUCAGAUUCACGGGCAUGUAUGAUUGCAAAGAGUGCUGAAUACUCGCAGUAGAAUAGAUAAACCUUCAGUAUGCUCUUUUUUUUCUCUCUCAGCAGCUCUCUGUGGAAAGAUCCCCACCUUGGAGACUCUGGAGGGUUCGAAAUCCCCGGUGAAGCGAUGCAGAGCCUUUCAAGGCAAGACAUUGUAUACAAAAGUUCCUGUCAAGCAGCCAGCACGAACAACAGCGGCUGGCACGAGGAAAGGGUCACAGAUGCUUGUUCGAACGUGCAAUUGUGCAACAUCGCCGCCUAUUGCAGGCUCCGGCUGCUGCUAUAAUAAAGGCACCAGCGCCAUCUGCCUUCUCAAACCCAACUCAACCAAGGAGGAAAGGUCCUCAUGGAGGCUAGAUGGGUCAGCGCCUUAAUUUCUAAACUUCACCUUUCUAAUAUCCAUCGUUGUUCUUAAUUCUUAUACCUUACGUGUUUCUUUGCUCCCUUUAGUAGAAAGAACAAACUGGUGAGCAGUGACAUGGGCUGGUGGGUGCUCUAUAUAUGCACGUAACAUGUAUUACAGGCAUUUUUUUAUUUCCUGUAUGCUUCUUUUUGUGGACUUUCUGACAUAUUUAAGCAACAAGAUACUUUUGGUAACUAAACUAUUAAAUAAGCUAAGCAACUAAAUUAAACAUAAUAGCUUUCUUUUUUCCUAUUCUUAUUUCAUCUACAGCUAAGAGAACACUGCAAAUACAGCUAUUCCUUCAGCUGUUUUACUCAGAAUCAUCAUCCUUUAGUUCUGGCAUAUCUGAUUUCAUUCUUUCUUUUCUCUCUAAGGUGGACUUUCAUCAGUAGUGUCCUUAUGUACUAGGUAGUCCACAGGACCCAGUUCUUCAUCCUUGUGAUGGAGUCCACCCACUGACUUUAAUGCUCACAUGCAGACUCAGAGCGCUGCAUGGCUGACUGCUGGGUGAGGCACAAUUUGUGUGCACUUGCAAUUGUCCUAAAACAAAUCAAGGCAGUUGUUUGGAAAUCUGUCUCAAAGACCAGUGAAGUUUGUUUCUUGGCAUCUUGUUUCUGUCCCCCAAAUGCAGGAAUUUAAAAGUAACAUUUUAGAUUGGCAAUAAUUUUAGAUCACACACACGAAUUCGUGUUCUCUGAAUUCCCUUGCGUUCCAUGUAAGGUAGCUGUGCCCUCCCAUGUCCAGCUGAGUCAUUAAACAAUGAACUGCUCCAGUUAAACCUCUUUCCACUAACACCUUUGAGUACCUAAAAGAUUGCAAAUAUAUGAGUGAGAUUACAUUGUCUAGAACAAAUCUUGUCAAAUGAGUUCAUUUCCCAUUGACUAGGUAGCAGUGUUUCUAGCAGAAAAGCAGGUGCAGAUAUCUUGUUUUUAGGAGGAUUUGCAGCACUGUCACAUGGGACUGGUGGUCUCACAAGCAAAUUGUAGAAAGUCUGGAAUGGGAGAGUGCAUGGUUGGGUGAACACAUUGUUAACUUGGCCAGACAUAUCGAGCAGAAUUCUACAGCAGUAUUCCCAUAGCACCAAUGGGUUAUUUUCAUUGGAUAAUUUGGAUAGUGUAAAAGAAAAAUUGCUUAGCAAACCCACUGCUGGGAGGAGCAGCAAGUGCUGUAGGAUACUGCUGUAGAACUUGGCAAAGUAUGGUCAGGGGGAAGAAAUAACUCAAAAGACAUGCUUUCACUCUUUGCUCUUGGCAGAAUUACCAACAUCCCAGAUGCAGGUUGUGGAAUUACUGGUCUGGUGGCAUCACAAUGUAAACACGCUUGGUGGUUAGCGUGGGUCACAAAGCAGACAGGAGUCAGCCACGUCACGCCAUAACAAAAACAACAAACAGCACCAGGGGGUAUAUAAAAAGGAAGAGCGUUUGACAGGCAGAUGAAGUCAUUCUCCUGUUAUGUUUGGGGCUGGUAAACAUCCCAUUGGUGUACUGUACUCUGCUUUGGCUAGAAUAGAGAAUUAGAGGUCUUGUGGGGAAACAUUGGUGGAAUAGGAGUGGUUUGUCCUAAGGAAGGGGGAGAUGUGGCAGGGCAUCCCUAACAUCUGCUGAAAAGGCUCGGUGGGCAUCAGAGAUCUGGGUUACAGGCUAGAAACAGCUUUCUCAUGGUGCGGUUAUGGAAACAGAGGGAAAGAUUACUAUGGGGUAUGACAGCCCUGUUUUGUUAGUUUUCAAGUGCAGAUUGGACACGUUUAUGUCAGAAAUUACCUCAACAUGACUGACCCUGCUUUUUGGGAAGGAAGGAGACACUUCCCAAAGCGAUUUUGCUGAUAUUCCUAUUUAGAGCCAAAGACACCUAAGUUAGAAGUCUAAAUUACACACUGUGGAUACCAGCUAAUUAUCAUCCUGAGACUCUUGCUUUCCAUUUCUGUUUAAUAUAUCAUUAGGAAAACAUCUUAGAAGUCAAUAAUUUAAAUCCAAAGUAGCUAUAAUGUAGGCUGGCACAAUGCAGUUUAAACUCUAUUCAUUCAAACCUGUGUUUUCCAAGUUCCAGGCUUCUUUUGAGCAUAUACUGCCAGUUCUGCUGACAUCUAAAUGGUUUAUGAUCUAGGGACCCAUCUGCUGGACAUUAGGAUGAUCCAGUUUAUCUAAUAAAGGCUUUACUAGUAUACCCACACAACUUAGUGCAGAAAGGGUGAUGGAUGAAAAGAGGAAAGGAUAACUUACACAUAUAUUACUCAUCCUGAGAAAGCUAAAACUUGGGCUUGGAAUAGUCUUUGAUGUUUGACCUCUGCAGAUAGACUGCAGUUAAGUCUCUUAAUCCUCUAAACACUUGAAGUUAAUAGGAUUAACCGUAUGCCCAAAGUGUGUGUGGCUGGUGUGCAAAACUGUUAUAGAGUGCAGCUGGUGAAAAAACUUGUGACAAAGACAUUUUCCAGUGGAAUCCUGUCUGAUGCAUACUAAGUAUUUUCU